rnacentral:lncRNA from 1 species
GGGUACUAGAGAAGUACUUCCUGUAUCAGUGAUUUCAUAUAAAGCGAUUCUUUACACAGACACACACAGGCAUUCACAUAGCUUCCUCCCAUGCAUUAAACAAAAAUGCCAACCUCAGUUUCACUGUGUUUCUGUUUAAGCAGAUGCUGUGUUCUAUAGGAAGAUGCGUGAAAUUGUUGUAAAACAUUCUACCAGUUAUCAAGACUUACUAGAAGCAUGCACAGGUUGUAGUUGGAGGAAAGCCAUUGAUUGUUGCAGACAAUUGCUUGUUGGAUUCUGUAACCCACCACCUUGCUGAACUGUGAGUUCUAAUAAUUUUGGGGGGCAUUCUCUUGGGUUUUCUACCUCUCGUCUGCAAGGGGUACUUCUCUACUGGUAUCUGGGAUACUGCACAGCCCUGCCCCUCCACAAACACAUUUUUCUUUGCUACAUUUUUUUCUUCUUCCUUUCCUUGAGGCCUUUGCAUUCUCGAAAUUUCAAUCCUUCAACUACUCAAUGCAGUCUCUUCCUAAGAAUUCAUCCACAGUUUUCAAUUGUUUCAGCC